GGGCGGUUACCGAAAUGGUUAUAACGGCGUAGACUUGAAAUCUAAUGUGUCGGACAUCAUCCGACUUGCGAGUUCGAAUCUUGCACCGCCCGCCA
rnacentral:tRNA from 1 species